AACCUAGCACACCUGCGGUGUGUACCUGCGGAAGGAUCAUUACCGAGUUUACAACUCCCAAACCCCUGUGAACAUACCUUUAUGUUGCCUCGGCGGAUCAGCCCGCGCCCCGUAAAACGGGACGGCCCGCCGCAGGACCACAAAACUCUGAUUUUAGUGUAACUUCUGAGUCUAAAAAACAAAUAAAUCAAAACUUUUAACAACGGAUCU
rnacentral:misc_RNA from 1 species